ACACGAGCGGCGAACGGGUGAGUAACACGUGAGCAAUCUGCCCCCCACUCUGGGAUAACCCCCGGAAACGGGAGCUAAUACCGGAUACGACCACUUCAGACAUCUGAUGGUGGUGGAAAGUUCCGGCGGUGGGGGAUGAGCUCGCGGCCUAUCAGCUUGUUGGUGGGGUAACGGCCCACCAAGGCUUCGACGGGUAGCCGGCCUGAGAGGGUGACCGGCCACACUGGGACUGAGACACGGCCCAGACUCCUACGGGAGGCAGCAGUGGGGAAUAUUGGACAAUGGGCGAAAGCCUGAUCCAGCAACGCCGCGUGAGGGAUGACGGCCUUCGGGUUGUAAACCUCUUUCAGCGCAGACGAAGCGAAAGUGACGGUAUGCGCAGAAGAAGCACCGGCCAACUACGUGCCAGCAGCCGCGGUAAUACGUAGGGUGCGAGCGUUGUCCGGAAUUAUUGGGCGUAAAGGGCUCGUAGGCGGUUUGUCACGUCGGGAGUGAAAACUCGGGGCUCAACCCCGAGCCUGCUUCCGAUACGGGCAGACUAGAGGUAUGCAGGGGAGAACGGAAUUCCUGGUGUAGCGGUGAAAUGCGCAGAUAUCAGGAGGAACACCGGUGGCGAAGGCGGUUCUCUGGGCAUUACCUGACGCUGAGGAGCGAAAGUGUGGGGAGCGAACAGGAUUAGAUACCCUGGUAGUCCACACCGUAAACGUUGGGCGCUAGGUGUGGGACUCAUUCCACGAGUUCCGUGCCGCAG
rnacentral:rRNA from 1 species